GACGAACGCUGGCGGCGUGCCUAACACAUGCAAGUUGAGCGACGAACCAGGGCUUGCCCUGGGGCAAAGCAGCGAACGGGUGAGUGACACGUGGGUAACCUACCCCGAUAACCGGGACAACCCGAGGAAACUCGGGCUAAUACCGGAUGUGCUCACUGGACUUCGGUUCAGUGCGUAAAGGAAGCUUCGGCCUCCGUAUCGGGAGGGGCCCGCGGCCCAUUAGUUUGUUGGUGAGGUAACGGCUCACCAAGACCGCGAUGGGUAGCUGGUCUGAGAGGACGAUCAGCCACACUGGGACUGAGACACGGCCCAGACUCCUACGGGAGGCAGCAGUGGGGAAUCUUGCGCAAUGCGCGAAAGCGUGACGCAGCAACGCCGCGUGGGGGAAGAAGGCCUUCGGGUUGUAAACCCCUUUCAGGAGGGACGAAGGUUCGGCGGUGAAUAGCCGUCCGGACUGACGGUACCUCCACAAGAAGCCCCGGCUAACUACGUG
rnacentral:rRNA from 1 species